rnacentral:tRNA from 1 species
AUUGAGGUGGCAGAGACUGGACAUGCACAGGGGUUAAAACCCUGACACAGGUGUUCAACCCACCUCCCCAAUA